GACAGAGGGUGCAAACGUUGUUCGGAAUUACUGGGCGUAAAGCGCGUGUAGGCUGCUCCGCAAGUCGGAUGUGAAAAGCCCUGGGCUCAACCUAGGAAGUGCAUUCGAUACUGCGGAGCUGGAGUCCUGGAGAGGAAGGCGGAAUUCUCGGUGUAGAGGUGAAAUUCGUAGAUAUCGAGAGGAAACACCGGUGGCGAAGGCGGCCCUUCUGGACAGUGGACUGACGG
rnacentral:rRNA from 1 species